GGUCCCGCGGCGUAUUAGCUAGAUGGUGGGGUAACGGCUCACCAUGGCAAUGAUACGUAGCCGACCUGAGAGGGUAAUCGGCCACAUUGGGACUGAGACACGGCCCAAACUCCUACGGGAGGCAGCAGUAGGGAAUCUUCCACAAUGGACGAAAGUCUGAUGGAGCAACGCCGCGUGAGUGAAGAAGGGUUUCGGCUCGUAAAACUCUGUUGUUAAAGAAGAACAUAUCUGAGAGUAACUGUUCAGGUAUUGACGGUAUUUAACCAGAAAGCCACGGCUAACUACGUGCCAGCAGCCGCGGUAAUACGUAGGUGGCAAGCGUUGUCCGGAUUUAUUGGGCGUAAAGCGAGCGCAGGCGGUUUUUUAAGUCUGAUGUGAAAGCCUUCGGCUCAACCGAAGAAGUGCAUCGGAAACUGGGAAACUUGAGUGCAGAAGAGGACAGUGGAACUCCAUGUGUAGCGGUGAAAUGCGUAGAUAUAUGGAAGAACACCAGUGGCGAAGGCGGCUGUCUGGUCUGUAACUGACGCUGAGGCUCGAAAGUAUGGGUAGCAAACAGGAUUAGAUACCCUGGUAGUCCAUACCGUAAACGAUGAAUGCUAAGUGUUGGAGGGUUUCCGCCCUUCAGUGCUGCAGCUAACGCAUUAAGCAUUCCGCCUGGGGAGUACGGCCGCAAGGCUGAAACUCAAAGGAAUUGACGGGGGCCCGCACAAGCGGUGGAGCAUGUGGUUUAAUUCGAAGCUACGCGAAGAACCUUACCAGGUCUUGACAUACUAUGCAAAUCUAAGAGAUUAGACGUUCCCUUCGGGGACAUGGAUACAGGUGGUGCAUGGUUGUCGUCAGCUCGUGUCGUGAGAUGUUGGGUUAAGUCCCGCAACGAGCGCAACCCUUAUUAUCAGUUGCCAGCAUUAAGUUGGGCACUCUGGUGAGACUGCCGGUGACAAACCGGAGGAAGGUGGGGAUGACGUCAAAUCAUCAUGCCCCUUAUGACCUGGGCUACACACGUGCUACAAUG
rnacentral:rRNA from 1 species